UGUGAGGCAGUAGACUGUCAAGCAAUGGAUUGGGAAGGAAAACUAACAUCAUUUUUGAACAUCUCCUAAGGAGCAGACACUAUACCAGAUUCAGUUUCUGGCCUGCCCUGUGUCCUUGGAAGUAGACCUCUGCAAAACGAACCUUCCCUUGCUCUGUGGCUAAUAAUUACGGUCAGCCAAUGGGAGAAACUGUGGAAGAUAUGUGUGGGAACAGAAAAGUUGGGGUGCAACCUGUUAUAUAAGGAAUGGACUCAAAAUGCAACGUAAGAGCUGUUAACUAUGAAUCACCCUACAAUAUAACCCUACACCAUGGGAAACGUUGGAUAACAAGGUAUGAAGAUCUUUAGAGAUUUUAAGAUGAUAAGAUAUAUCCCUCUCAUUUGCAUGCAUUUCCAUUAAAAUCAGCUACAAAAUAAGUGUGUCCACUAAAUCUCUGUAAUUUAACAAUGUUCUGAAAGCAGUAGCUUAUACAACCAAACAAUAGGAAUAAAUUUGAGAUAUAAAAGUUGGGAAGGAAAACUUAAAAUUAGAAUUAUUCUCUGGUGAUAUAGAUGUAUACUUGGAAA